rnacentral:misc_RNA from 1 species
ACCUUCCGAAUUCCCCCCAGGCUAAGGCAAAAAGCCAAAAUCAAAGUCGCAUUUACAUUUGAUAGCUCUAAAUUUCUUAUGAGAAAUAGAUAAGCAAGUAAUAAAAUCUCCAACUGCAAUCCUCAUUUGGCAUGUGCAUGACAUUUCCAAUCCUAGACUUUGGGUAGUAUCUUAGGGAUCUCAGCUUGUGCUAAUUAUUACUAAGAUUUAAAUAAACUAAAAUAAAAUAGAAUAGAACCCGAAAGGAGGAGAUCACGACCCAGUUCAGACUGGUUUUUUCGUCAAGUCCAUGAAAGCAACGUGCAGCUGAGGGUUGAACGUUGAAACAAGAAUAAAUAUGAUGGGCAGUUUAGACUUAAGACCGUGCCAUCAGGGGCAUCAGCAGUGGACCCGGGUGUCUCACUAACAUGGAUUAACUUUCAUGGGCCCAAACAAUCUCCUUAUCCAUACAAUCCCCUAACAACAAAA